UGAGUAACACGUAUCCAACCUGCCGUCUACUCUUGGACAGCCUUCUGAAAGGAAGAUUAAUACAGGAUGGCAUCAUGAGUCCACAUGUUCACAUGAUUAAAGGUAUUCCGGUAGACGAUGGGGAUGCGUUCCAUUAGAUAGUAGGCGGGGUAACGGCCCACCUAGUCUUCGAUGGAUAGGGGUUCUGAGAGGAAGGUCCCCCACAUUGGAACUGAGACACGGUCCAA
rnacentral:rRNA from 1 species